rnacentral:rRNA from 1 species
UGAGACAGCCAUAAUAGGUUGGAAACACCUGUUCUCAUCCCGAACACAGAAGUUAAGCUUCCUAUGUUGGUAUCAGUAGUGGCUCACAAGCUGCCAAAAUAUCAAGCUGUCUUGC